rnacentral:rRNA from 1 species
GAUGAACGCUGGCGGCGUGCCUAAUACAUGCAAGUCGAGCGAACAGACGAGGAGCUUGCUCCUCUGACGUUAGCGGCGGACGGGUGAGUAACACGUGGAUAACCUACCUAUAAGACUGGGAUAACUUCGGGAAACCGGAGCUAAUACCGGAUAAUAUAUUGAACCGCAUGGUUCAAUAGUGAAAGACGGUUUUGCUGUCACUUAUAGAUGGAUCCGCGCCGCAUUAGCUAGUUGGUAAGGUAACGGCUUACCAAGGCAACGAUGCGUAGCCGACCUGAGAGGGUGAUCGGCCACACUGGAACUGAGACACGGUCCAGACUCCUACGGGAGGCAGCAGUAGGGAAUCUUCCGCAAUGGGCGAAAGCCUGACGGAGCAACGCCGCGUGAGUGAUGAAGGUCUUCGGAUCGUAAAACUCUGUUAUUAGGGUAGAACAAAUGUGUAAGUAACUAUGCACGUCUUGACGGUACCCAAUCAGAAAGCCACGGCUAACUACGUG